rnacentral:rRNA from 1 species
CCAAUAGCGUAUAUUAGUGUUGUUGCGGUUAAAAAGCUCGUAGUUGAAUUUCGGGAUUGGGAUAUAUCGGUCGUGCCUUUAGGGGCAUGAAUCGGCGUGUGGCCAAUUCUCACUUUUUGGUGAAUUGGGAUGCUCUCGGGUGUUUCAAUGAACUAGGACUUUUACUUUGAAAAAAUUAGAGUGUUUAAAGCGGGCAUUUUUGCUUGAAUACGUUAGCAUGGAAUAAUAAAAUAGGACGAUGGUUCUAUUUUGUUGGUUUUAGGACCACGUAAUGAUUAAUAGGGAUAGUUGGGGGCAUUAGUAUUCAAUUGUCAGAGGUGAAAUUCUUGGAUUUAUUGAGGACUAACUAUUGCGAAAGCAUUUGCCAAGGAUGUUUUCAUUAAUCAAGAACGAAAGUUAGGGGAUCAAAGACGAUUUAUGUACGUCGUAGUCUUAACCAUAAACUAUGCCGACUAGGAAUCAGACAAAGUUAAUUUUUUAACGACUUGUUUGGUACCUUACG